GUGGCUCAGCAGGUAAGAGCAUUUGCUAUUCUUGCAGAGGACCUGGGUUCAAUUCCCAGC
rnacentral:tRNA from 1 species